UUGCAUUGUGUGUGUGUGUGUGUGUGAAGGAAGUAGGGUGGGCUAGCCAGUCUACCCCGAGUGCUAACAAGCGAAAGCACGUGUGUCUGCCGGUUCUACGGCAAUGCCGAAACGAAAAUGCACGUUCACGGAGGAGUUGAAGAAAAAAUUCCCGUGCUUUCGCCAGGCUGCUCAAGAUGGUACAGUUUUGUUUUGUUUUUUGCCAUACCUGCCCACAAUGCAAAUGUGGAGCGCAUCUUUUCACUGAUGCAAGCGCAGUGGACGAAGGAGAGGAAUCGCAUGUCUGUGGAUUCACUGAAGGCGAUUUUGUGCACCCAGUACAAUUUCAGGAACAUGACCUGCAAAGAUUUUCAUACCUACUUAAUGGGUAAUCGUAAACUGUUGAAAGAGAUGCAGUCUUCUGACAAAUACACCCCGCAAGAGGAGGAC